GUGUUGUAAGAAAGGAGAGAAGGUUAGCACUCCCCUUGACAAGGACGGAUGGGACCCUUGUGGUCUUUAUAACACAUAAGGCCGUGUUCCUCUACUUCGGGAACACACCUAUUUUUUU